AUGAUUUUUGCCCUGAACGAAAAUUCUCACAACGAAUGCCGUCAACCAUGUACUACCACGACCAUCUGAUUUUCCGAACGCACUGAAUGACCCAUCUGGCUGUUUAUACGUC